ACUUUCAACAACGGAUCUCUUGGCUCUCGCAUCCAUGAAAAACCCUUCUUGUCCCCCAUAAGUAGUGUCAAUUGCAUAAUUUUGUGAAUCACCGAAAUCUUUGAACCCCAAAUUGCACUCCCCGGUUAUUCCCGGGGGAAGUAUGCCUGUUUGAGGGUCGUU
rnacentral:rRNA from 1 species